rnacentral:rRNA from 1 species
UACGUAGGAGGCGAGCGUUAUCCGGAAUGACUGGGCGUAAAGGGUGCGUAGGUGGUUUGGCAAGUUAGUAGCGUAACUCCAAGGCUCAACCUUGGAACUACUACUAAAACUGUUGGACUUGAGUGCAGGAGGGGCAACCGGAAUUCCUAGUGUAGCGGUGGAAUGCGUAGAUAUUAGGAGGAACACCAGUGGCGAAGGCGGGUUGCUAGACUGUAACUGACACUGAGGCACGAAAGCGUGGGGAGCAAACA